GACGAACGCUGGCGGCGUGCUUAACACAUGCAAGUCGAACGGAAAGGCCCAGCUUGCUGGGUACUCGAGUGGCGAACGGGUGAGUAACACGUGGGUGAUCUGCCCCUGACUCUGGGAUAAGCCUGGGAAACUGGGUCUAAUACCGGAUAUGACCAUUCCCUGCAUGGGGUUUGGUGGAAAGCUUUUGCGGUUGGGGAUGGGCCCGCGGCCUAUCAGCUUGUUGGUGGGGUAAUGGCCCACCAAGGCGACGACGGGUAGCCGACCUGAGAGGGUGAUCGGCCACACUGGGACUGAGACACGGCCCAGACUCCUACGGGAGGCAGCAGUGGGGAAUAUUGCACAAUGGGCGCAAGCCUGAUGCAGCGACGCCGCGUGAGGGAUGACGGCCUUCGGGUUGUAAACCUCUUUCGCCAGGGACGAAGCGCAAGUGACGGUACCUGGAGAAGAAGCACCGGCCAACUACGUGCCAGCCGCCGCCGUAAUAC
rnacentral:rRNA from 1 species